ACUAAAGAGAAGUGUUACAAACCAAUUGGUUAUCCACCUGACUUCAAAUUCACCAAAAAUAGAGAGAGAGCACAACAUGAUUUUGGAAGGAGAUAACAAUAAUUCUGGACACAGAGGUGCAAAUGGAUACAAAUCUAGGGGCUAUAGUGCACACGUUGCUAAUGUGAAUUAUCAUGAUAGUUAUGAUCAUCAAACUACUGUUACAACAGAAUAGUUCAAGAAGCUUCUCAACUUGAUAGAUCAGCAGGAUUCUCCUGAAAGAGUAGCUAAUAUAGCAGGAUCUCUACACUAACAAGGUGAAGGGGAUUGGUAAGGUAAAUGAUGGGCUCUACAUUCUCACAUUCAAAUCACCAUCACCUGCCAAUUCUUCCACUCUAUAAGAUAAAUCCGUCUGUUUGUCUACUCAAACUGUCAAUGUUAAGAGCUAUGUUUAGAAUCAAAGGCUUGGUCAUUCACCAAUUCACAUCCUCAAUCAGUUGUAUGUUAUUAAACAUACUCUAGAUAAAAUUCAGAUUUUAUAAUUGUACGACUUGUUCUAUUGCAAAACAAACUAGAUUGCCUUUUUCCUAUUAAUAAGACUGCUUCUGUUCAAGCUUUUCAA